UGUGCUCUCAAAUUUCUCACCCUCAAGUGCAUCCAGGAUAUGCAUGUGAAGGGUGUGCUCAUCUCCAGGAGCAGUGUCACCAUAGGGAGGAAAUGACCCUGCCAGUUCCACACAACCGCCCCUGCAAACCCCGCCAGGGCGAAGAAGUGGUGAACAGCUAACGGCAGGUCAAAGGAACGAAACACCACAUUGGACAUGUGGAGGGCCAUGUUUUCAAACAGGAAGAAGCCCGUAGAAGUUAGAAUGUUGAACCAGGACCAGUCUUCCUGUCCGAGAAUCUUAUCAGAGAAGAGAACAGAUUCCUCCAUGAGGGCCCGAAGACCUGCCACAAUGCCCUGAAUGCCAAACACAGCCCGUGUUGCAGCCAAAUCCCAGAAAACCUAGAAAAUUUUUAAAUGGUAGAACAUGUUAAUGAUUUUUUAAUAAAGAAUUUAAUAAAGGUCUAUUAUGAUUCAAAAGAG
rnacentral:lncRNA from 1 species